GUUAGGCCAGGGCACGCCUGCCUGGCGUCACAC
rnacentral:rRNA from 1 species